AUUGAACGCUGGCGGCAGGCCUAACACAUGCAAGUCGAGCGGAUGAAGGGAGCUUGCUCCUGGAUUCGGCGGCGGACGGGUGAGUAAUGCCUAGGAAUCUGCCUGGUAGUGGGGGAUAACGUCCGGAAACGGGCGCUAAUACCGCAUACGUCCUGAGGUAGAAAGUGGGGGAUCUUCGGACCUCACGCUAUCAGAUGAGCCUAGGUCGGAUUAGCUAGUUGGUGGGGUAAAGGCCUACCAAGGCGACGAUCCGUAACUGGUCUGAGAGGAUGAUCAGUCACACUGGAACUGAGACACGGUCCAGACUCCUACGGGAGGCAGCAGUGGGGAAUAUUGGACAAUGGGCGAAAGCCUGAUCCAGCCAUGCCGCGUGUGUGAAGAAGGUCUUCGGAUUGUAAAGCACUUUAAGUUGGGAGGAAGGGCAGUAAGUUAAUACCUUGCUGUUUUGACGUUACCAACAGAAUAAGCACCGGCUAACUUCGUG
rnacentral:rRNA from 1 species